rnacentral:lncRNA from 1 species
ACCAAACUAAGGAAGAAAAAGAAAUGAUGUUUAUGGGGCAUUAUUUUCUUUUCUAAUAAUAGUUUUUGAGAAAAGUACAUUCCUUGCUAUGCACGAUCGUCAUAGUUCUGACAAUAGCAAGCCAUAUUGUAAAUAGAAUUUUAAUUCAUAAUGAAAGUCUGACUGAUGUCUUACUUUAAGAUAUUAUAUGUAGGAUAAAAUUGCCCAUCGACCUAAGGGAAGCAUUGGCAGAGUUGAGGCG